AGAGUGAACGCUGGCGGUAGGCCUAACACAUGCAAGUCGAACGGCAGCACGGUAAGAGCUUGCUCUUAUGGGUGGCGAGUGGCGGACGGGUGAGGAAUACAUCGGAAUCUACCUUUUGGUGGGGGAUAACGUAGGGAAACUUACGCUAAUACCGCAUACGCCCGUUCGGGGGAAAGCCGGGGACCAGCAAUGGCCUGGUGCUGAUAGAUGAGCCGAUGUCGGAUUAGCUAGUUGGUGAGGUAAUGGCUCACCGAAGGCGACGAUCCGUAGCUGGUCUGGAGAGGAUGAUCAGCCACACUGGAACUGAAGACCACGGUCCACGUACUCCGUACGGGAGGCAGCGAGGU
rnacentral:rRNA from 1 species